rnacentral:lncRNA from 1 species
AAAUGAAUAAUAAAAAUUCUAUUUGAAUUUAAUAGUGGAAAUAUUUUCCUGAAUUCGUGUCUGCUUUGAAGAGUUUUUAUUGUUUAUUCUUCAAACGAAAUUGUUUUUACAUGUUGAAAGUGGAAAAUUAAAUGGCUUUUAACUUCGUUGAGGGAGCGGGGUAAAGAGACACUGGGAAUGGAACUGUUUGAAUGUAUUAUGUUAUAUCGUUAUCUCUUGAGAUUGUUAGCUUGGCAAUAUCACUGAUGUUGUUUGAACAAUUUCUUACGAAAAUAGUAAUAACCGUCGCAGAAGUCUAAUAUGAUGCUUCUGAGUACCGUUGUACGUCAUCACCGUUUUGGGCAUAGCUUUAGAAUAUUUCUGCAAGCCUGAUAGCAAUACAGUGCAUGAGUGUAUCUCGUUUUUGUUGUCCGUUGGUCUGUGCUGCCUAUAACCGGAGACGACGCCUGAAGGUAUUUAGCCCUAAUCCUUAUUGAAUUUUCAUUUGAUUGUGUGGAAUAUGUUUCUAUUUCGUGAUUGAUGGGUUUCGAUUACCGUUGCUUAGAUCUUUUUUGACGUGAUAUCUUCGUGCUUCAACAUGGGAGUCCAUCUUGGCAUCUUGCCUGUUCGUUCAUCUACUGUGAAUUUUUAUAAACUCUUGGUUUAUUUGAGGUCGAAUAAUUAUGGUUUUGUUAGAAUUUUUUAAUUUUCAAAACAGGUUUAGGCGAUGAUUGUAGAUUUUUCGUAUCGAUGUGACCACUCCUCGAAAAAUUGCCUUCGUUUUAUAGCCAAAAUAUGUGAAAUAUUUCUCAAAAAUAUUACUCUGCCUUCAAAAAUUCUAUAUUUCUGUUAGAAAAUUUUUCAUUUUUGCCUCGUUGUUCUAGAGUUUGGAUUUUAACUUGUUUUUUUCUUUUUAAUAAUACAUGCUUGCUGUGAGAUAACAACCUAGGAUUGGAUGGACAAACUACUUGUAGAUGUAAUGUCUGUGACAGCGUGACUUACUUUAUUUCCAAAAAUGCCUCAAAUGAGCUGAUUGAAAAAUUUAUUGGACAUAAGAUGUUAACAAUGGUUUCCAUUAAAACAUUAAAGAACAUGAGGAGGUAAAUCAAAAGGAGUCGAAACGUGGAGAAACAGAGCCCCCCACUCAUACUUUCUUCUCUUGGACUUGGAAAGGACAGUUGUAUUUAUGAAAUGGUUAUCAUUUAAACACGUUAAAUGAACAAGGAGACAAGUCAGAAGGAUUCGAAACGUGGAGAAAUGAAGCCCCUUAAAUGUUUUUUAGAAAAAAACAUGCAGUCCAAUUCACACUGAUGUAUAUAAGGUUGCGUACGUGACGUUGUGUCUUCUGCUCUGUGGCUCAUUUCACUAUCGAUGGUAUCAUUAUUCCUUUCAAAAGUAUCUAUUGUUAGAGGCACUCUCUGCUGUCAACGCUUAGGAAUAAAACUCGAGCACCUUCGGUAAUCCUCGGGAUUGUUCAACAAAUGGGAAAGAAAUAAAGUUCAGUUUGGUCCUACUGAAACAACCAAUGUCUACAUGGGCAUCAUCUUUCUUGGAUUGAUCUCUUGAUUAGCUGUUUACAUCUUUGCCUUGCAACAUUAGAGCAAUUGGAGAUUAAUUUAAAUUCCAUAGAAACAACAAAAUUUUUGGUAUGGUAUUCCUGCCGGAUUUGUUUUGUUUUAACACCUGCAAAGUUUGGGAUGUUACAAUCUACAUUUAAUUAAGAUCAACGCUGGAGAAGACAAAGAUGACCCCGUAGUUGAAAUAGUUUUUUAUCCUGCAUGCUCUAGAAAUUAUUAAGUUGAUUUUAUUCAAAUUAAUUUUUUAUUUUGCAUGUUUUUUUGUUUUUUUUGUAGUUAAUUUGAUUUAGU